rnacentral:lncRNA from 1 species
AGGAUAAAAAACAAACAAAAAGAAGGAAGAAAAAGAAGAGCCGUUGCCAUAAGUCUCCUGAGAGCUCGGGGUCGGAUUCGGCUUCAGACAGCAAGGAUGGUUCAAAAAAGAAAAAGAAGUCCAAGGAUGUAACUGAAAGAGAAAAGGACACUAAAGGUCUCAGCAAAAAGAGAAAGAUGUACGAAGAUAAACCGUUGUCAUCUGAGUCGCUGUCAGAGUCAGACUGUGGAGAGGUGCAAGCAAAAAGGAAGAAAAGCGGUGAAGAGCGUGAGAGAACAACAG